rnacentral:rRNA from 1 species
UACGAAGGGGGCUAGCGUUGCUCGGAUUGACUGGGCGUAAAGGCGCGUAGGCGGUUUGCACAGUUGGGCGUGAAAUUCCUGGCUUAACCUGGGGCUGCGUUCAAUACGUGUAGGCUUGAGUUCGGAAGAGGGUCGUGGAAUUCCCAGUGUAGAGGUGAAAUUCGGUAGAUAUUGGGAAGAACACCGGUGGCGAAGGCGGCGA